UUUACAUUUUUUUGUGAAAAAUGAAAUCCUGAAUUAAUAGUGUACCUGCAUAUAUUGUUCAACCUGUCUGAAAAUCUAUCAAAGGCCUAAUAGAGUUAGUAUUUUGAACUUGAACUUGUUAAAAUGCACAAUUGUUAUAACUUUUUAUAAAAUAUGUGUAGCACUUUACGAUUUACUCCAUUGUUUUUAAAAUGUCAUGAUUCUAUUUUAUAACAACAUGUAACUGACUCAUUCAUUCAUCAAGAAAUACUCAUUGAGUUUCUGCCAUGUCUCAUCUCGAUAACUCCAAUGUUCCAUGCGUGGCCUCCUGCUUCAAAUAUAAUUAUAUAACUGAGUAGAUCUACUUACUGGAGCUGAGCUAGGGAAGAAAACCAUCCUCCUUUAUAAGCGUUGAAGCCUGUCAUGGUCUGAAUUCUGCACCCCCACAAAAAAGACAUAUUGAAGUCCUAACCCCUGACCCAAAUAGACACGAAAGAGGGAUGACAAUGUGAGAAGACAGAGGACAAACUCCCUAUGAAGUCAGAGGCAAACAUAUAAAUUAUGCCUCCUGGCACAAGCCAAGGAAAUGUCUAAGGCAAGCAGAAAUAGAAAGAAGCAAAGAGGGAUACCUUCUCCUCCAGGUUUUAGAGACAGCAUGGCCCGCUGACACCCUGAUUUGGGGCUUCUCAUCUCCAGAGCUACAAGGAUUCUAGGAGAAAUCGGUGAAAAUUAUGAUUAAUAAUAAUAGUAAUAAUAAAAAGCUAAAGGCUUCUGGAAUCAUGCAGUUUCCACUAAAGUUGACCCAUCGAAUAACAGUCCAAAAAGAGUUUACUACAAACAAGAUGAGAUUCCGGCCUUCUCAGAGUACAAAAGCACUAAGAUCAACAUGAGUUAUAUUAUCCUGAAGUGUUUGCAUUUUGUUUAGUUUGGAUUUAUUUGAUUUUACUAUACUGAAUAAAAUACUUUCAUUUUCUUAUUGUCUCUUGCUUCUUUCUCCACUAACUGUUCCAUUUUUACAAUGGAAGAAUUCCUGUCUUUCCACUGUAAAAAUUCCUCUGAAAUAAUUCUUUUUGAAAAAAGGAAAGUGAGAAAUAAGAGACCCCCUGUAUUGCCCUUCCACUAUAAGAAAGAAGCAAUAUUUACAUCGGAUAAAAUUUACAUUUUUAUCAUGAUUUACAAAUAUAUUUGUUAUAUAUGCAAAAAUAACUUCAAAUAAAUGUUGUAAAUGAGGAUUUUAAACGUUCUUGUGAAAAACUACACUUGGCAUCUCCUAAAAAACAUAAUGAAAUAUGUCUUGCCAUA
rnacentral:lncRNA from 1 species